rnacentral:rRNA from 1 species
AUCGGAACACAGGUGCUGCAUGGCUGUCGUCAGCUCGUGUCGUGAGAUGUUGGGUUAAGUCCCGCAACGAGCGCAACCCUUAUCAUUAGUUGCUACGCAAGGGCACUCUAAUGAGACUGCCGGUGACAAACCGGAGGAAGGUGGGGAUGACGUCAAGUCCUCAUGGCCCUUAUGGGUAGGGCUUCACACGUCAUACAAUGGUCGGUACAGAGGGUUGCCAAGCCGCGAGGCGGAGCCAAUCCCAUAAAGCCGAUCGUAGUCCGGAUUGUUCUCUGCAACUCGAGAGCAUGAAGUCGGAAUCGCUAGUAAUCGCGGAUCAGCAUGUCGCGGUGAAUACGUUCCCGG